GAUGAACGCUAGCUACAGGCUUAACACAUGCAAGUCGAGGGGAAACGACAUCGAAAGCUUGCUUUUGAUGGGCGUCGACCGGCGCACGGGUGAGUAACGCGUAUCCAACCUGCCCAUCACUUGGGGAUAACCUUGCGAAAGUAAGACUAAUACCCAAUGAUAUCUCUAGAAGACAUCUGAAAGAGAUUAAAGAUUUAUCGGUGAUGGAUGGGGAUGCGUCUGAUUAGCUUGUUGGCGGGGUAACGGCCCACCAAGGCAACGAUCAGUAGGGGUUCUGAGAGGAAGGUCCCCCACAUUGGAACUGAGACACGGUCCAAACUCCUACGGGAGGCAGCAGUGAGGAAUAUUGGUCAAUGGGCGAGAGCCUGAACCAGCCAGGUAGCGUGCAGGAAGACGGCCCUAUGGGUUGUAAACUGCUUUUAUAAGGGAAUAAAGUGAGAGUCGUGACUCUUUUUGUAUGUACCUUAUGAAUAAGGACCGGCUAAUUCCGUG
rnacentral:rRNA from 1 species